CGCCAGUUUUCUCUCACUUCACUCGCUUAUAUCUACGCGGCGCACGUCUUCGCGAUCCUAACCGGACGAUCUACGUCGUCGUCAAUCCGUUUGCGCACAGCGGGCCGACGGAGCGGUGGAUCUCGCGAAAGGAUCACAAUGGCUACCGCACAAUUGAACAGAGCCAGAACCGUAAAGAAGCUCGAAAAACCACGGCCGCUUAAGCUUAACCAACGCAACUCGACCGUCGAUGGGCGGAUCACGACUGUAGAGGAUAUAGUGUCCUUAAUCGACAAUGUUGCAAUGCAACUGACUAAUGGCUUCCAUGACCGAACGCUGCAAAUGAAUGUGAUCUCUAUGUGUAGUCAUCUGAAACUUUAUGCCAACCAAUUAGAAGCUAUCUACAAAGAUCAGCUUGACCGAGCCUUUGUGGCGAUCAGAAAUGGGAGCCAGGACGACAGAUUAGAUUUGACGACCAGGGUUCAUCUACUGGAACUUAUCGAGCUGCGAGCGAAACAAUGGCGUCAUACCGAUUCGAUGGACGUGUACUACAUGCAGAAGUUGUCACAUGUAGACAAUCAGGUCGAGGCGAUGCCCGAUACGCCGAACUCUCUAUCGUCCCCAUUAUUGACUUCACCUACUUCGGCACCAAUCCUGAGUCCUGGGGAAGUGAUUAAGAAUAGCGGAAAGUUCGCGAAGCCUACGCGUAUCCCGGGGAAAAAUUACUGCAAAGACGAAGUUGUCAUUCGCAACAGUGAUUCAGGAAAAGUGAUGGGAAUAAAAGGGCGGCGGGUUCACAUGAUAGAAGAGCUCAGCCAGACGAUCAUCUCCUUCCAGCGAGUAAACCCUGGAGCUAAAGAACGACUUGUCCAAAUCACGGGAACGUCCGAGGACAAGAUUCAUUACGCGAAGGACUUAAUCAAAGAUACGAUUCAACGAAAUGCAUCGCCAGUGAGACUGGAACAGAGCUCCGGCGGCGAGAAGGGGGCCAUGGGCGGUUCGAGCUCCUCGCUCAAUAGCAGCGCGUCGGAUGAGAGCAACCGGCUGCAACAGAGUCAACAGCACAGCUCCCGUCUACGCUCGUCCCUUUUGCACAGUCUCUCCACUAACGACGCCAGCAUAGGCGAAUAUAAGUACACCGUUACCGUCGGCAACCAGUCCCUUAAAAUUACGGGCUGCAAUCUCGACCUCGUCAGGACAGCAAAACUAGUGUUAGACGAGCACUUCUUGGGCGACUCCGAGAACUUUACUAGCAGAAUAGAAUACUUCAAUUACGAGGAUGAGCCCAGCUUCGCCUCAACUACAACAUCCACCUCCAACCUUCCCCGUAUGCCGUUGUCACCAUUGGACAACGUAAACGCUCCUGCUUCUCUAGGUCGAGAGUUAAGUGUGGAUAGUGCCGCUACCUCUUCGGAGAGCGAAGAGACUUAUAAAUCUCGUCCAAUUCCUGAAGAGCGAGGCUUGACUCAACAAGUUCCAGAAGCAAGAGAACUUACGUACGAGUUUCUGCUGUUGUGCGCGUCAGGCCCGUACGCGAAGCGGCCUCCUGCUAACUGGGCACGCAUACAGAAGGAAUGUCCCAAUAUAGUUCGUAAGGCACCGAUUCGCUGGUUCGAACCGGAGGCAUACAAAGCCAAGUUAGCAGCCGUUGGUCCCGUUGCGAUAUUAUCGAUUGGGGAAGCAGAAACCGAUCCCGAGUGAAGCUGGAGGUUCAAUCUGUCGUUCUUCUUCCAUUAUCCUCUCCCACAACUUAGGUCGAAGAAACUCGUUUCUUGACGGAGAGGAUUAAUCGUGAAAGACUAAUACGUACUUUAGAAGAAGACACGGUAGAUAUCAUGUUACAAGAGAACAAAUCCUGCGCUUUUGUAAGCAGCAAUUCGCAAAGCGGUCCCAAAUUCAAUGGAAGAUUUCAAUUCCGUCGUGUAACGUGACUUUACGCGGCGAGGGAUGAAAUCGUGAUUUAGCAUAGUCUAGUCUACCUAUUUCAACGUAGGAAUUUACUCUUUUUGUAUUUACUUUGCUGUGACGCAAUAACCAAAAAAAUCGAAGAACGGAGUAAAAGGAAUUAGAUUUUUUUUCGAGAAUUUUAUAUUUUAUAUACGUUAAACGCGGAAACGUUUGUGUGUUAUAUGCAAUGCAAUAUAUACUGUGAAGGAGCUAAGGUUGAAAAGUAAAAAUAAAAUCGUUACCGUUGUCGUUCUUUUUUUAUAGUAUAACGAUUUAGUAAUGACCUUAUAUAAGUUUUUUAUAAAGAAAGAUAGUAAUGAUAAGAUCAGAAUUAAAUCUUUGAUAAAUAAAUUAUAACUUGUUACGAAUCAAUUCAACAACAAAUGUAACUACAAGCGCUAAAACAAUUUUUUUCGAUGAGUAAUGGUAAAUUAUUUUUCAAAAGUGAUUAUAUUCCAACCUGUGUUACUAUUACUAUUAUAAAAAAAUUUAACGUUAAUACUAUCGGGGUGUUUACUCACAUUUUGUAACAGUAUUUCCGGAUUUUCCAGAUAGAAAAUUUUAUUUGAGAUAAAAUUAAAGAACUUUUUAAUAUAGUUUUAAAAUAAAUUAAUUAUACUAUUUAAUGUUUUUCUUAAUCGUAUGUGGAUAUGUGUGUCAUAUUUAUUACUAAUCGAUUGUAUUAUUAAAAAUAAAAUAUUUUGUCAAAGAAACAAUUUUGUUAGAAAAAAA